CCAUCAUGUAUAUGACAAUCAUUAAUAUUAUUGUGUUCCUUGUGUUAUGAAUUAUUAUUUAAUGAUACGAUCAUUACGAUUUACUAUAUUUUUUCGAAAAUAAUAAGCAAAAACCAAGUAUUGAUCGACAAAGCAACGAGAUUUCUGGCACAUUCUCCCACCUAGCCCCACUAUAACCUAACUCACACAAUCAUAUGCUUUCUCUUAUGAUAUACAUAGUAUAGUUGUGUUGGUUGAACUAUGUUUACGAAAACAAGGAACGACUAACCUCAUGUUAUUUGACUGUUUGUUUUCAUCGUUACGUCAGGAGAAAAGGCUAUAUUUUAGAAAUAUAUAAUUCUCAAAAUUAAGGAAUAUGUAAAAUCGCCUUUAAUUAAUAAUAUAAAUUUUUAUGUUAUUUCUAGAAUAUAUGUUUAUACCAUAUUCUCGUUAAUUAUUAUUUUGAUAGUAUAAAUAUGAAAUUUUAAGGAACAUUUCUUGACUUCUUUUGCUGAUUUAUCUGAUCUCUGAAUAAAAAUAUUAUAUUUUUUAUUGAAUUUAAUAACUAGAUUGUAUUUUCACAGAUAUGAGCAAUUAUUAACAUGCUAAAAAACAAUAGGUUUUGCGCGACAGCUGUAGCUCUAUCGAUUUUCCAAGCGCGUCUUCCUACCUAGAUGCAUUAUAUCUCAUAUGAAAGACGCGUAAUUGAUACAAGUUUAUUCAUGAGAAUUGCGACUAAGAAUUCUUUAUGAUAUAAUUUAGAGAGAGAAACUACUGAUCAGUUUCGAUAUAGAAAUGAGAGUACAUAUAUAAAUAUAACGAUGAGCAGAUGUUCGCAAUAGAUUUACAUACAAUUCAAAAAUGAUAAAAAUAGAAAUAGAAUGUCAAUUGAUGCAUUCAGCUGGACAGACUAUGUAUCUAUUAAUGUUUUUAAUAUAAUCCCUUAGAUUCACUAGUGCGUAAUAUUCUGAAACGAUAUAAUUUCAUAGCAACAUAACAUGUAUCAAAUGGUACUUACUGCGUAUUCUAACUUAAUGAUGUCAUUUAUGCAAAUAAUAGGUUAUAAUAUAUAUUUAGAAAUUAACGAUAUCUUUAUAUAUAUCAAUGCAUUAUGAUGUUUAUAACGUUUUUAUCUUAUAAAUCAGGGUUUAUUUUUCUAAAUUAUUACUUAUUGAUUAAGUAUAAUAUAAAAAUUUCUACAUUCUAAUUCUAUAGAACAACUUAAUAAAAUGCACUCAAUCAUA